AACGCACAUUGCGCCCGCUAGUAUUCUAGCGGGCAUGCCUGUUCGAGCGUCAUUUCAACCCUCAAGCCCCCGCGGCUUGGUGUUGGGGAUCGGCCGCAAGCCCUCACGGGCAGGGCGGCCGGCCCCGAAAUCUAGUGGCGGUCUCGCUGUAGUCCCCCUCUGCGUAGUAACACACCUCGCACUGGAAGCUCGGCCUGACCACGCCGUAAAACCCCCCACUUCUGAAGGUUGACCUCGGAUCAGGUAGGAAUACCCGCUGAACUUAA
rnacentral:misc_RNA from 1 species